GUCCCCGGCUCCCGACCCGCAGGUGGGCCCUUCCUGAACAACCCCUCACCCCCGGGUGGGGGAGAGGACCCAGCGCCUUAAAGCCCCCGCAUCCUUUCACUUCUAGUCUCUCAGUUCCCAAACUCAGGCCGCUGAGCGCCCCAAGGGGCCCUGGUCCUCCUCGCUCGUUUCUGAAGCGCAGGCCGCACAGGUCCCUUCCGCGCCUCGCCGGGCUCCCGCGGGCACCCUGCGGCCCGGUGCGGGCGCCGAGCGCCGAGAGCGCGCAGAGGCCGGGCGGGCGGGCCCUUCAGCCGCGCGCGCCGCCGCGCCCGGGGCUCGAACCCGCCGCUGCCGCGCGCAGCUGCCCCCCCGAGGCUUCCGCGGCGGGACGGCGGCCCGGGCUGCUCGCGGCGUUCCGCGUCAGGACCCCUGAAAUGUCAGAGGCCGCCUGCAUGUGUACAUUGUUAAUAAAGGCUAACAUUUAUUGUUUAGUCCUGGCCAGUCACUGCUCUGAGUGCUUUCAUGGAGGAAUGUGUGCGAUCCUCACAACCCUUCCAGGCUUCUUCUGAAUGCUGGAGAAUGAACUGUAAGGGGCAAGAGAGGAAGCAGGGAGCCUGGUGAGGAGCUGUUGAUGUAGUCCAGAGAGAGAGCACGAGCAGGGGGAGCGGCAGAGGGAGAAGGAGAAGCAGAUUCCUGCUGAGCAGGGAGCCCGAUGUGGGACUUGGUCCCAGGACCCAGGGAUCAUGACCUGAGCCGAAGGCAGACGCUUAACGACUGAGCCACCCAGGCGCCCCUCUUUUCUCCACUUUAAAGACCCCUCCCACGAUGGAAGAUGGGGAGUAAAAAGGGGGUUGAUGGGAGAAGAAAAGCCUACCUGGCACACGGUCUUAAUGACAAUUAAUGGAGACUGGAAUCUGAAAACUGAAAGCUGUUUUUUUCCCCCUGGCACAUGGUGAAGAAGAGACAAAGACUUGGAGAAGCUCAGCUGCAAUAUUGGACAGAAGGAUACAGACAUGGGCUUGCUGAAUAAGUUGGGGCUCCAAUAAAAAGAAAGAACAGGUAAAGGGCUGGCUCACAAGAAGAGGGAAGCCUAGAGAGAGCAGAGUUCUUGAAACAGGAAGGGCAAGAAAGACCCUUAGUUGAGAGAACCAGGAAGUGGAGUGGACAGGACUCCUGAGCUAUCCUCAAGUGGGAAGGAAGCUCCCACCCACUGGGGACAUCCUGCUGUUCCCAGGGUUGAAUUGUGCCCUUGAUCCGAAGGUGGGGCACACCAGGUCAUCUUGUGUGGAAAUAGAGACACAAAGGGAAAAAUCACACUUCCUGACCAAGGUGGGACUGAAGAGAAUGAGAUUAGAGUUUCCUAAACUUUGUGCAGAAGUCACACACCCUUAUUGCCAUAUGUAGGCAUACCCAGAGCACCACAAUAAAGCGAAUAUGGCUGUAAAGUGAGUCCAGUGAAUUUGUUGGUUUCCCAGAGCAUAUAAAAGUUAAUGUAUACACUAUACUGUAGUCUAUUAAGUGUACAAUAGCUUUAUGUCUGAAAAAAAUGUUCAUACCUUAAUUUAAAAGUAAUUUAUUUUUGAAAAAUACUAGCUUUCAGCAAGUUGUAAUUAAUGAUCAGAGAUCACCAUAACAGAUAUAAGAAUAAUGAGAAAGUUGGAACUCGUGUGAGAAUUAUCAAAAUGUGCCAUAGAGACAAGAAGUGAGCAAA